UACAGAGGGUGCGAGCGUUGUUCGGAAUUAUUGGGCGUAAAGGGCGCGUAGGCGGUGCGGUAAGUCACCUGUGAAAUCUCCUGGCUCAACUGGGAGCUUGCAGGCGAAACUGCCGUGCUGGAGUGUGGGAGAGGUGCGUGGAAUUCCCGGUGUAGCGGUGAAAUGCGUAGAUAUCAGGAGGAAUACCGAUGGCGAAGGCAGGUCUCUGGGCUGACACUGACGCUCAUGCACGAAAGCGUGGGGAGCAAACAGG
rnacentral:rRNA from 1 species